GACAGAGGGUGCAAACGUUGUUCGGAAUUACUGGGCGUAAAGCGUGUGUAGGCGGCCACGUAAGUCGGAUGUGAAAGCCCCAGGCUCAACCUGGGAAGUGCACUCGAUACUGCGUGGCUUGAGUAUCGGAGAGGUUGGUGGAAUUCUCGGUGUAGAGGUGAAAUUCGUAGAUAUCGAGAGGAACACCGGUGGCGAAGGCGGCCAACUGGACGAAUACUGACGCUGAGACUCGAAAGCGUGGGGAGCAAACAGG
rnacentral:rRNA from 1 species